UGCAAGUCGAGCGGUAGCACAGAGAGCUUGCUCUCGGGUGACGAGCGGCGGACGGGUGAGUAAUGUCUGGGAAACUGCCUGAUGGAGGGGGAUAACUACUGGAAACGGUAGCUAAUACCGCAUAACGUCGCAAGACCAAAGAGGGGGACCUUCGGGCCUCUUGCCAUCAGAUGUGCCCAGAUGGGAUUAGCUAGUAGGUGGGGUAACGGCUCACCUAGGCGACGAUCCCUAGCUGGUCUGAGAGGAUGACCAGCCACACUGGAACUGAGACACGGUCCAGACUCCUACGGGAGGCAGCAGUGGGGAAUAUUGCACAAUGGGCGCAAGCCUGAUGCAGCCAUGCCGCGUGUAUGAAGAAGGCCUUCGGGUUGUAAAGUACUUUCAGCGAGGAGGAAGGCAUUGUGGUUAAUAACCACAGUGAUUGACGUUACUCGCAGAAGAAGCACCGGCUAACUCCGUGCCAGCAGCCGCGGUAAUACGGAGGGUGCAAGCGUUAAUCGGAAUUACUGGGCGUAAAGCGCACGCAGGCGGUCUGUCAAGUCGGAUGUGAAAUCCCCGGGCUCAACCUGGGAACUGCAUUCGAAACUGGCAGGCUAGAGUCUUGUAGAGGGGGGUAGAAUUCCAGGUGUAGCGGUGAAAUGCGUAGAGAUCUGGAGGAAUACCGGUGGCGAAGGCGGCCCCCUGGACAAAGACUGACGCUCAGGUGCGAAAGCGUGGGGAGCAAACAGGAUUAGAUACCCUGGUAGUCCACGCCGUAAACGAUGUCGACUUGGAGGUUGUUCCCUUGAGGAGUGGCUUCCGGAGCUAACGCGUUAAGUCGACCGCCUGGGGAGUACGGCCGCAAGGUUAAAACUCAAAUGAAUUGACGGGGGCCCGCACAAGCGGUGGAGCAUGUGGUUUAAUUCGAUGCAACGCGAAGAACCUUACCUACUCUUGACAUCCACGGAAUUUAGCAGAGAUGCUUUAGUGCCUUCGGGAACCGUGAGACAGGUGCUGCAUGGCUGUCGUCAGCUCGUGUUGUGAAAUGUUGGGUUAAGUCCCGCAACGAGCGCAACCCUUAUCCUUUGUUGCCAGCGGUUCGGCCGGGAACUCAAAGGAGACUGCCAGUGAUAAACUGGAGGAAGGUGGGGAUGACGUCAAGUCAUCAUGGCCNCUUACGAGUAGGGCUACACACGUGCUACAAUGGCGUAUACAAAGAGAAGCGACCUCGCGAGAGCAAGCGGACCUCAUAAAGUACGUCGUAGUCCGGAUUGGAGUCUGCAACUCGACUCCAUGAAGUCGGAAUCGCUAGUAAUCGUAGAUCAGAAUGCUACGGUGAAUACGUUCCCGGGCCUUGUACACACCGCCCGUCACACCAUGGGAGUGGGUUGCUAAAAGAAGUAGGUAGCUUAACCUUCGGGAGGGCGCUUACC
rnacentral:rRNA from 1 species